rnacentral:rRNA from 1 species
UACGUAGGGUGCGAGCGUUGUCCGGAAUUACUGGGCGUAAAGAGCUCGUAGGUGGUUUGUCGCGUUGUUCGUGAAAACUCACAACUCAAUUGUGGGCGUGCGGGCGAUACGGGCAGACUGGAGUACUGCAGGGGAGACUGGAAUUCCUGGUGGUAGCGGUGGAAUGCGCAGAUAUCAGGAGGAACACCGGUGGCGAAGGCGGGUCUCGUGGGCAGUGAACUGACGCUGAGGAGCGAAAGCGUGGGGAGCGAACAGG